GUGUUAAAGUGUAAAUGAAAAAUAAGUGACAGGCGAUACCAACAAAGCUAAGAGUUUCGUUGUUCGUUGUUAGUGAUGCAUUGUCAUUUCUUCUGAUAUAUCCCAUCACUGUCAAUAGGACAACCCUGUGCUACAUGAGGGUAGCACUGGCACCAUCUCAGUACGCUACACAACAAGCAUUCACAAUGGAGGAACUGGCUGGGUGGCAAAGUUUGCAGCAAAGGAACGAGGAACUACAAUCUACAAUUUCUGACGUCAGCCUGCAGCAUUCCUUACAAAAUAUAAGUUUUUCAGAGACCAGCGUAUUGGUUACAUUACAGUUGUCUCAGUGAGCAUGUAUUCUUACUGUUCUGAUGUAAAAUGAAUAAAUCGUGCCAAGUCAACUCAC